rnacentral:rRNA from 1 species
GAUGAACGCUGGCGGCGUGCCUAAUACAUGCAAGUCGAACGCAUUGAGAAAAGUGCUUGCACUUUUCAAUUUGAGUGGCGAACGGGUGAGUAACACGUGGGCAACCUACCUGAUAGCGGGGGAUAACGAGUGGAAACAUUCGCUAAUACCGCAUAACAAUAGAGAAGGCAUCUUCUUUAUUUAAAAGGCGCUUUCAAGCGUCACUAUCAGAUGGGCCCGCGGUGCAUUAGUUAGUUGGUGGGGUGAAGGCCUACCAAGACGAUGAUGCAUAGCCGAGUUGAGAGACUGAUCGGCCACAUUGGGACUGAGACACGGCCCAAACUCCUACGGGAGGCUGCAGUAGGGAAUCUUCCACAAUGGACGAAAGUCUGAUGGAGCAACGCCGCGUGUGUGAUGAAGGCUUUCGGGUCGUAAAGCACUGUUGUAUGGGAAGAAUGCUAGGCUAGGAAAUGAGCUUAGUUUGACGGUACCAUACCAGAAAGGGACGGCUAAAUACGUGCCAGCCGCCGCGGUAA